rnacentral:rRNA from 1 species
UACGAAGGGGGCUAGCGUUGUUCGGAUUUACUGGGCGUAAAGGGUGCGCAGGCGGAUUUUUAAGUCAGGGGUGAAAUCCCGAGGCUCAACCUCGGAACUGCCUUUGAUACUGGGGAUCUUGAGUCCGGAAGAGGUGAGUGGAACUGCGAGUGUAGAGGUGAAAUUCGUAGAUAUUCGCAAGAACACCGGUGGCGAAGGCGGCUCACUGGUCCGGAACUGACGCUGAGUCACGAAAGCGUGGGGAGCAAACAGG